AGUGGACGGUAUCGCACGCUGCCGAAUGAGGACAAUCGAUCCGAGAAGGCCAGCGGCGGAAUCGCGAGGGCCUAUGAGCGACGACGACUCCACCGGUGCCGGAUGACGUUGUGGGGUUUGGGUUCGCUACGUCGGAGCCUCGCGAGUUGAGCGAGGCAGGCCAUGUCGCGAGUUGAGCCUGGGGAAGUCCAUUCCUUGAAUUAUACCGAACGAAUUCGGAUUCUGAUAUUUUUCUCAGCCAAGCAUUUUCUAUUUCAUAGGCACUGACUUUUUAGAUGUUUAGAUGUGGUUUUGUUUUGUUGAUGAAGAAAGGCAAGAGGUUUCUUGAUUAGCUAUUACAUUUCUUUCCGUUCAUUCAUUUGUUUAGACAUUGUGAUGUUGAUUCUAGACUUAUACAAUAUUUGUUGGACAAUCACAGAGUCGGCAGAAAUAUUUGAUACAUCUGGUAUUUGCAGGUUUUUGGUGAGAAAGCUUUUCAGAAAUUUGGAAAGGGGUUCGUCUACAUGCAUUUUUCAGAUCAACAUCCAGGGAAACACAAGAAGAUGGUUUUGUUCAAGUUUGCCCUACCAGAUGCCAGUAACAUGGCGGAUAUGACUCGUUUGGUGGCUCUGGUACCUUAUUAUAUUGAUUUGAUUGGGCGCUACAAACUAAGUAGUCAGGCUCGAUCAAAAACAGAAGCAAUCAGAUCAAAGGCUGCUCAAGAGGCUUACAAGGAACUCCAAA